UACGUAGGGUGCAGGCGUUAAUCGGAAUUACUGGGCGUAAAGCGCGCGCAGGCGGUCCUUUAAGUCUGAUGUGAAAGCCCACGGCUCAACCGUGGAGGGUCAUUGGAAACUGGGGAACUUGAGUACAGAAGAGGAAAGCGGAAUUCCACGUGUAGCGGUGAAAUGCGUAGAGAUGUGGAGGAACACCAGUGGCGAAGGCGGCUUUCUGGUCUGUAACUGACGCUGAGGCGCGAAAGCGUGGGGAGCAAACAGG
rnacentral:rRNA from 1 species